AGAGUUUGAUCAUGGCUCAGAUUGAACGUUGGCGGCAGGCCUCAAACAUGCAAGUCGAACGAGAAAGCCCUUCGGGGUGAGUAGAGUGGCGGACGGGUGAGUAACACGUAGGAAUCUACCCAGCGGCGGGGGACAACCCGGGGAAACUCGGGCUAAUACCGCAUACGCACUACGGUGGAAAGGGGGCUUCGGCUCCCACCGUUGGAGGAGCCUGCGUCGGAUUAGCUUGUUGGUGGGGUAAUGGCCUACCAAGGCAACGAUCCGUAGCUGGUCUGAGAGGACGAUCAGCCACACUGGGACUGAGACACGGCCCAGACUCCUACGGGAGGCAGCAGUUAGGAAUAUUGCGCAAUGGGGGAAACCCUGACGCAGCCAUGCCGCGUGUGUGAAGAAGGCUCUAGGGUUGUAAAGCACUUUCAAUAGGGAAGAAAAGCGUACGGUUAAUACCCGUGCGCCCUGACGUUACCUAUAGAAGAAGAUCCGGCUAACUCCGUGCCAGCAGCCGCGGUAAUACA
rnacentral:rRNA from 1 species